UGCCCUGGCAGUGGGCAAAGAGACACCUUGUUGGUAGUGCUGUUCUUAUAUCACUCAGGAACAGAGCAAAUGGCAGUCCGUUGGUCAUCCUAGACCGAUGCCUGGCUUGAUGGCCAAAGCUCCUUUACGCCUAGGACCCAUAA